rnacentral:rRNA from 1 species
AACGAACGCUGGCGGCAUGCCUAACACAUGCAAGUCGAACGAGACCUUCGGGUCUAGUUGCGCACGGGUGCGUAACGCGUGGGAACCUGCCCUUAGGUUCGGAAUAACUCCCCGAAAGGUGUGCUAAUACCGGAUAAUGUCUUCGGACCAAAGACUUAUCGCCUUUGGAUGGGCCCGCGUUGGAUUAGCUAGUUGGUAGGGUAAAAGCCUACCAAGGCGACGAUGCAUAGCUGGUCUGAGAGGAUGAUCAGCCACACUGGGACUGAGACACGGCCCAGACUCGUACGGGAGGCAGCAGUGGGGAAUAUUGGACGAUGGGCGAAAGCCUGAUAAAGCAAUGCCGCGUGAGUGAUGAAGGCCUUAGGGUUGUAAAGCUCUUUUACACGGGAUGAUAAUGACAGUACCGGGAGAAUAAGCUCCGGCUAACUACGUG